rnacentral:lncRNA from 10 species
AGAGACUGUUCUUCCAGCAUCACUUGCUUUUGCCCAUUCCUUAUCUCCUCUACUGCCCUCAGAUGCCUUGAGGGCUGUGAGGGUACCUUAGUCAUCUUUGUAUCACAUGCAGUACCUGACUCAGUGCCCCAGGAGGUGCCACGGAAGGACUCAGCAGAUGUCCCCCAAGGGAUUGAGACACAAAGUUCAGCUCUGGCCAUGAACAUCCUCAGUGACCCAGUGACCCAGGGGCAGAAUAAACAACCUUCUGGGACAAACCCACUCUAAGGAAAGAGAUAUGACUCCUGAGUUCGAGUGCAGUUUUGCUGUUGAAUUGCUGUGGGACCUAGCAAGUUACUGGACUUCUUUGAAUUUUGGCUUUCCUAGCUGGAAGUUUGUAUUGAAGUAAGUUCAUGGAGAAGUAAACAAAUCAAGUAUACAACUAAACUUUUUACGAAGUAAAACACCCACAUAACUAGCACCCAGGUCAAGAAACAAACCCCAGAACCCCCUUCCAGUUACUACUCCCUACCCUGGGAAGGGCACCUACCUUCUUGGCUUCUCACACCUUAGGUG